rnacentral:rRNA from 1 species
UACAGAGGGUGCAAACGUUGUUCGGAAUUACUGGGCGUAAAGCGUGUGUAGGCGGUCUACUAAGUCGGGUGUGAAAGCCCUGGGCUCAACCCAGGAAGUGCACUCGAAACUGGCAGGCUAGAGUACUGGAGAGGUUGGUGGAAUUCUCGGUGUAGAGGUGAAAUUCGUAGAUAUCGAGAGGAACACCGGUGGCGAAGGCGGCCAACUGGACAGAUACUGACGCUGAGACACGAAAGCGUGGGGAGCGAACAGG